AUUGAAGGGAGAUGAUUUCGUUUUUGAAUUCGAUCCAUCCAGCACGACCAAGUUUUCAUUUUCUGUUCAUAAAAAUGAAAUAGAAUUCACCCUUAAGAUGAAGGAAGGAGAACGGGUCUUGCAGGGGGGAGUACAGCCUCAGGACACAUCUGAGAUUGGUCCUCUCCGAUCUGUCUGAAGAGGGAACGUCAAGUUUCAUUUCGGAUUACCCGAGGAAUUCUCGCCAUUACAGUUGGGAGGGGGGGGGGUAGAGGUUGAUGGAAAGACAUUCAUUUACUUUACAAAUAGCAUAUAUCCACAAUUUUCUGAAAUAAACUCCUGAAUUAUGUUACUGUAAUC